GGGGGGACAGGGUGACAGGUGGUGCAUGGUUGUCGUCAGCUCGUGUCGUGAGAUGUUGGGUUAAGUCCCGCAACGAGCGCAACCCUCGCCUCUAGUUGCCAGCAUUCGGUUGGGCACUCUAGAGGGACUGCCGGCGACAAGUCGGAGGAAGGUGGGGAUGACGUCAAAUCAUCAUGCCCCUUAUGACCUGGGCUACACACGUGCUACAAUGGGCGGUACAAAGGGCUGCGAACCCGCGAGGGGGAGCGAAUCCCAAAAAGCCGCUCUCAGUUCGGAUUGCAGGCUGCAACUCGCCUGCAUGAAGCCGGAAUCGCUAGUAAUCGCGGAUCAGCAUGCCGCGGUGAAUACGUUCCCGGGCCUU
rnacentral:rRNA from 1 species